AUGAAGCUUUCAAGGAACCUGCUAGAAUGGAUUCAAGCUAUGCAAGAAGAGCUUCAACAAUUUGAACUCAAUAAUGUGUGGGAGCUAGUCAAAUGUCUUGAACCGCGCAAGCACAACGUAAUUGGCACCAAAUGGAUCUACCAUAACAAACACAAUGAACAUUGUCAAGUUGUUAAAAACAACGCACGUCUUGUCACUCAAGGAUACACUCAAGUAGAAGGAAUUGACUUCAAUGAAACUUUUGCUCAUGUGGCUAGGCUUGAAGCCAUUCACAUUCUGCUAGCUUACGCCAACCAUCAUGAUAUCCUAUCAAAUAGAUGUGAAGAGUGA
rnacentral:rRNA from 1 species